rnacentral:rRNA from 1 species
UACGAAGGGGGCUAGCGUUGCUCGGAAUCACUGGGCGUAAAGGGUGCUUAGGCGGGUUUUUAAGUCAGAGGUGAAAUCCUGGAGCUCAACUCCAGAACUGCCUUUGAUACUGAAAGUCUUGAGUAUGGGAGAGGUGAGUGGAACUGCGAGUGUAGAGGUGAAAUUCGUAGAUAUUCGCAAGAACACCAGUGGCGAAGGCGGCUCACUGGCCCAUUACUGACGCUGAGGCACGAAAGCGUGGGGAGCAAACAGG